rnacentral:rRNA from 1 species
UUGUGGUUAAAAAGCUCGUAGUUGGAUCUCGGCGAACUGAGGGCGGUUUGCUUGCUAGUAUUACUGCCCUAUAGUCCGUAGUUUUGCCAGAGGUUUCGGGGUGCUCUUAAUCGAGUGUCCCGGGAUGCUGGCAGGUUUACUUUGAAAAAAUUAGAGUGCUCAAAGCAGGCUAUUACGCCUGAAUAUUCGUGCAUGGAAUAAUAGAAUAUGAAGUCGUUUCUAUUUUGUUGGUUUUCGGAAAUCGACUUAAUGAUUAAUAGGGACAGUCGGGGGCAUUUGUAUUCAAACGACAGAGGUGAAAUUCUUGGACCGUUUGAAGACAAACUACUGCGAAAGCAUUUGCCAAGAAUGUUUUCAUUAAUCAAGAACGAAAGUUAAAGGUUCGAAGGCGAUUAGAUACCGCCCUAGUUUUAACCAUAAACGAUGCCAGCUAGCGAUCUGCGGACGUUUUUUUUGUAGACUCCGCAGGAAGCUUCCGGGAAACCAAAGCAUUUGGGUUCCAGGGGAUGUAUGGUUGCAAAGCUGAAACUUAAAGGAAUUGACGGAAGGGCACCACCAGGAGUGGAGCCUGUGGCUUAAUUUGACUCAACACGGGAAAUCUCACCAGGCCCGGACACUGGGAAGGAUUGACAGAUUGAUAACUCUUUCUUGAUUCGGUGGGGUGGUGGUGCAUG